GUCGAGCGGACAGAUGGGAGCUUGCUCCCUGAUGUUAGCGGCGGACGGGUGAGUAACACGUGGGUAACCUGCCUGUAAGACUGGGAUAACUCCGGGAAACCGGGGCUAAUACCGGAUGGUUGUUUGAACCGCAUGGUUCAGACAUAAAAGGUGGCUUCGGCUACCACUUACAGAUGGACCCGCGGCGCAUUAGCUAGUUGGUGAGGUAACGGCUCACCAAGGCAACGAUGCGUAGCCGACCUGAGAGGGUGAUCGGCCACACUGGGACUGAGACACGGCCCAGACUCCUACGGGAGGCAGCAGUAGGGAAUCUUCCGCAAUGGACGAAAGUCUGACGGAGCAACGCCGCGUGAGUGAUGAAGGUUUUCGGAUCGUAAAGCUCUGUUGUUAGGGAAGAACAAGUGCCGUUCAAAUAGGGCGGCACCUUGACGGUACCUAACCAGAAAGCCACGGCUAACUACGUGCCAGCAGCCGCGGUAAUACGUAGGUGGCAAGCGUUGUCCGGAAUUAUUGGGCGUAAAGGGCUCGCAGGCGGUUUCUUAAGUCUGAUGUGAAAGCCCCCGGCUCAACCGGGGAGGGUCAUUGGAAACUGGGGAACUUGAGUGCAGAAGAGGAGAGUGGAAUUCCACGUGUAGCGGUGAAAUGCGUAGAGAUGUGGAGGAACACCAGUGGCGAAGGCGACUCUCUGGUCUGUAACUGACGCUGAGGAGCGAAAGCGUGGGGAGCGAACAGGAUUAGAUACCCUGGUAGUCC
rnacentral:rRNA from 1 species